rnacentral:lncRNA from 1 species
GAAAAGCCCCAGGCUUACUUGGCAUCGUUGCUGAACAUCGAGGCUUAAGGGCUGCCUGGACUGCAGUUGCUUGCCUGUGGAGAUACUGAGUUGUCUUACCUGUGGGAAGAUGUGACCUAAGUAUUUGGUGAAAAGAAAACGGAGCAGAGCCUUUACCACAAACUCUCCCUUGUUCCAUCACUCCCUCUCCAUCUGUCUCCUCGAUGUCUUUCCCUUAAACUGUCUGUGAACACGAGGCAACUCCUCCAGAAGCCACGUAAUGCAAGUGCCGCACCCGUGUCUCACAGGCGUGGAAAUGGAUCUGACUCUGAAGCUAUUGUUGGAUUUUAUGACAGAAAAUAAAUACCCACCUAGUGAAUCCCGUG